rnacentral:rRNA from 1 species
AUGGAGAAAGACACGGCGGCGACGGCGACGGCGGCGGCGGCGGCGAGGGUGUGCCGGCGGUGCAAGUCGAAGUACUCGCCGUCGGGAAACACGCCGCAGUCCUGCAGGUUCCACCCUUCCUUCUUCGUCUGCCGCCGCCACGACGACCAGAAGAGGUACUACGAGCUUAAGGACGGCGACCCUCCCUACGCCGCCAAGUUCUACGACUGCUGCGGCGCCGAGGACCCCGACGCCGCCGGCUGCGCCACCAGCUUCCACCUCUCCUACGACGACCCUGAGUAA